GACGAACCGUGCGAACGUUGUUCGGAAUCACUGGGCUUGAAGGGCGCGUAGGCGGGCUGCCAAGUCCGGGGUGAAAUCCUCCCGCUCAACGGGAGAACGGCCCCGGAUACUGGCGAUCUCGAGGCGGGUAGGGGCGUGCGGAACUAUGGGUGGAGCGGUGAAAUGCGUUGAUAUCCAUAGGAACUCCGGUGGCGAAGGCGGCACGCUGGACCCGAUCUGACGCUGAGGCGCGAAAGCCAGGGGAGCGAACGGG
rnacentral:rRNA from 1 species